AUUGAACGCUGGCGGCAGGCCUAACACAUGCAAGUCGAACGGUAACAGGAAACAGCUUGCUGUUUCGCUGACGAGUGGCGGACGGGUGAGUGAUGUCUGGGAAACUGCCUGAUGGAGGGGGAUAACUACUGGAAACGGUAGCUAAUACAGCAUAUCGUCGCAAGAGCAAAGAGGGGGACCCCCGGGCCUCUUGCCAUCGGAUGUGCCCAGAUGGGAUUAGCUUGUUGGGGGGGUAACGGCUCACCAAGGCGACGAUCCCUAGCUGGUCUGAGAGGAUGACCAGCCACACUGGAACUGAGACACGGUCCAGACUCCUACGGGAGGCAGCAGUGGGGAAUAUUGCACAAUGGGCGCAAGCCUGAUGCAGCCAUGCCGCGUGUAUGAAGAAGGCCUUCGGGUUGUAAAGUACUUUCAGCGGGGAAGAAGAGAGUAAAGUUAAUACCUUGGCGCAUUGACGUUACCCGCAGAAUAAGCACCGGCUAACUCCGUG
rnacentral:rRNA from 1 species